rnacentral:rRNA from 1 species
AUGCUGAGACGAAUGCAAGAGUAUGCCAUCCGGAAUGAUAAAAUAGAACCUGGAGUAUUUUAUCUUGCAUUCCUUGGUCUGGCAGUGAUUGAUGCGUUUGUUUGUCGGAUAAGGUACUCAGAAUUAAGAACAAAAUGUUCUAUUAAAGGUCGACUUAAGGUGGUGAUCUACUCUACCGUUUACAGCCAUUUCAGAUUUUUCAAUAUGCCAGUUAAGGGAAAAAAAACUGGUAGCCAGGAGAUGAUAAUUAGGUUCCAUUAUGAUUUUAUUUUUUCAAAGGAUUCAUGUAUUCUUGUUUGCAAUCAUUUUUAUCUGGCUGUUCAUCAAUCGGCAUUGCAAAUUACAAAUGAGACUUUCUUCAUUUCAUAUUUUUCUCCUUAUGUGUAG